rnacentral:rRNA from 1 species
UGGGGAAUCUUGGACAAUGGGGGCAACCCUGAUCCAGCGAUGCCGCGUGGGUGAAGAAGGCCUUCGGGUUGUAAAGCCCUUUAGGUUGGGAAGAAGUGUGUUGGGGGAUAAUCCCAGCAUGUUGACUGUACCGACAGAAUAAGCACCGGCAAACUCUGUGCCAGCAGCCGCGGUAAUACAGAGGGUGCGAGCGUUAAUCGGAAUUACUGGGCGUAAAGGGCGCGUAGGCGGUGAGAUGUGUGUGAUGUGAAAGCCCCGGGCUUAACCUGGGAAGGGCAUAGCAAACUAUCUGACUAGAGUAUGAGAGAGGGUGGCGGAAUUUCCGGUGUAGCGGUGAAAUGCGUAGAGAUCGGAAGGAACGUCAAUGGCGAAGGCAGCCACCUGGCUUAAUACUGACGCUGAGGCGCGAAAGCGUGGGGAGCAAACAGG